CAUGUCUUAUUUUUAUGAAAUGAUAAUAAUAUCCUUACUUUCAAUUACUAGUGGAGUAUUAGUCAUAGCAGCAAAAAUAUCAAAAUAUGUGCCUCACAUGAUCCAAGAUUUUUGGAUGCCAAUUAUCCAAAAUCAAAAGGGAAGGAAAAGAAACCUAAAUUAAACCAUCUAGAAAGAAAAAAUCCCUAAUUAAGCCAUAGGUGAAAAAGAAAAAAAAUCCUCAAUCAAAGUACAGGUGG
rnacentral:lncRNA from 1 species